rnacentral:rRNA from 1 species
CACGUAGGGGGCAAGCGUUGUCCGGAUUUAUUGGGCGUAAAGAGCUCGUAGGCGGUUCGGUAACUCGGGUGUGAAACCUCCAGGCUCAACCUGGAGACGCCACCCGAUACUGCUGUGACUAGAGUCCGGUAGGGGAGCGUGGAAUUCCUGGUGUAGCGGUGAAAUGCGCAGAUAUCAGGAGGAACACCAGCGGCGAAGGCGGCGCUCUGGGCCGGAACUGACGCUGAGGAGCGAAAGCUAGGGGAGCGAACAGG